UACGGAGGGUGCAAGCGUUAUCCGGAUUCACUGGGUUUAAAGGGUGCGUAGGUGGGCAGAAAGUCAGUGGUGAAAUCUUCCGGGCUUAACCCGGAAACUGCCAUUGAUACUAUUUGUCUUGAAUACUGUGGAGGUCAGCGGAAUAUGUCAUGUAGCGGUGAAAUGCUUAGAUAUGACAUAGAACACCAAUUGCGAAGGCAGCUGGCUACACAAAUAUUGACACUGAGGCACGAAAGCGUGGGGAUCAAACAGG
rnacentral:rRNA from 1 species